CACGUAGGGCGCAAGCGUUGUCCGGAAUUAUUGGGCGUAAAGAGCUCGUAGGUGGUUUGUUACGUCUGCUGUGAAAUCCUAGGGCUUAACCCUGGGCUUGCAGUGGAUACGGGCAGACUAGAGGUAGGUAGGGGAGAAUGGAAUUCCUGGUGUAGCGGUGAAAUGCGCGGAUAUCGGGAAGAACACCCGUGGCGAAGGCGGCACUCUGGGACGGUACUGACGCUGAGACGCGAAAGCGUGGGGAGCGAACAGG
rnacentral:rRNA from 1 species